UACGUAGGGUGCAGGCGUUAAUCGGAAUUACUGGGCGUAAAGCGUGCGCAGGCGGUUUGUUAAGACAGAUGUGAAAUCCCCGGGCUUAACCUGGGAACUGCGUUUGUAACUGGCAAGCUAGAGUGUGGCAGAGGGGGGUGGAAUUCCAAGUGUAGCAGUGAAAUGCGUAGAUAUUUGGAGGAACACCAAUGGCGAAGGCAGCCCCCUGGGUUAACACUGACGCUCAUGCACGAAAGCGUGGGGAGCAAACAGG
rnacentral:rRNA from 3 species